AGUCGCGUGAAGGAUGAAGGUCUUAUGGAUUGUAAACUUCUUUUGCAAGGGAAUAAAGUGGGGGACGUGUCCUCCUUUGCAUGUACCUUGCGAAUAAGGAUCGGCUAACUCCGUGCCAGCAGCCGCGGUAAUACGGAGGAUCCGAGCGUUAUCCGGAUUUAUUGGGUUUAAAGGGUGCGCAGGCGGGAUGUUAAGUCGGCGGUGAAAUUUUGCAGCUCAACUGUAAAAGUGCCUUCGAUACUGGCUUUCUUGAGUGUGGAUGAAGUAGGCGGAAUUUGUGGUGUAGCGGUGAAAUGCUUAGAUAUCACGAGGAACUCCGAUUGCGCAGGCAGCUUACUAAACCACUACUGACGCUCAUGCACGAAGGCGUGGGGAUCAAACAGGAUUAGAUACCCUGGUAGUCCACGCAGUAAACGAUGAUUACUAGUUGUUUGC
rnacentral:rRNA from 1 species